rnacentral:rRNA from 1 species
GACAGAGGCCUCAAGCGUUAGGCGGAGUCACUGGGCUUAAAGCGUGUGUAGGCGGAUCGUUAAGUGUCUUGUGAAAUCCCACGGCUCACCCGUGGAACUGCUGGGCAUACUGGCGAUCUUGGGCCAACUAGGGGCAACUGGAACAAGCGGUGGAGCGGUGAAAUGCGUAGAUACCAAGAGGAACACCUGAGGUGAAGACGGGUUGCUGGGCUGACACUGACGCUGAGGCGCGAAAGCCAGGGGAGCAAACGGG